rnacentral:rRNA from 1 species
UACAUUUAUCGGCUAACCGACACCCCUGUUCGCAAGAGCAGGAGCAGGUGAAUCUAGAUAACUGUGAAUACCGUAUGACCCAGCGUCGACGGUAGUUCGAUCGAAUUUCUGCCCCAUCAAUUAGUUGGUAAGGUAGUGGCUUACCAAGAUGUUAACGGGUAACGGGGAAUCAGGGUUCGAUUCCGGAGAGGGAGCCUGAGAAACGGCUACCACAUCCAAGGAAGGCAGCAGGCGCGCAAAUUACCCAAUCCAGACAUUGGGAGGUAGUGACGAGAAAUACUGGGGGCGCUCAAUGAGUGCCAUCCGGAAUGAACGUAACAUAUAACAUUCGAUGAGGAUCUACUGGAGGGCAAGUCUGGUGCCAGCAGCCGCGGUAAUUCCAGCUCCAGUAGUGUAUAUCAACAUUGUUGCGCUUAAAACGCUCGUAGUUGGAUUGCAGGGUGGGUUAAUUGCAUUCACUCUCAUGUGAUUGUGAUGAUUGUCCUUGAAUUUUAAUUUGAGGGCGCCCCUCCCUUGUCGCGCCGGGUGGCAGUGAGUGCUUGAUUGAAUUCACUGUUAUUCUGGCGGGGUGUGCCUUGAAUAAAGCAUGGUGCUCAAAGCAGGCGUACGCUCGUGUGUAAUAGCAUGGAACGAAUACUCGACCGGGUGUCUAGUUCUUGUGGUUUUCUUGUUAAAACGAUUAGGAGUUGGAUGCUGGGCUCGCUCCAUGUUGGCGGAGCCACGGUCUCGAUGGUUUACAGGGACACCUGAGGGCACUAGUACUUUGUGGCGAGAGGUGAAAUUCUUAGACCCGCAAAAGACUGACUAUUGCGAAAGCAUUUGCCAAGAGUGUUUUCAUUAAUCAAGAACGAAGGUCAGAGGAUCGAAGACGAUCAGAUACCGUCCUAGUUUUGACAGCAAACGAUGCCAGCAUAGGGUUGGGGCGGUCGAUCCGGUUUAACCGCCGGACGUACCAUCGCAGGCCUUAAGGGAAACCUAGCUUUCGGGCUGCUGGGAGAAUAUCGCUGCAAGGCUGAAAUUUAAAGAAAUUGACGGAGAGGCACCACCAGGAGUGGAGCCUGCGGCUUAAUUUGACUCAACACGGGGAAACUCACCAGGUCCAGACAUUGGUAGGAUUGCCAGACUGGUAGAUCUUGCAUGAUUCAGUGAAUGGUGGUGCAUGGCCGUUUUUAGUUGGUGGAGUGAUCUGUCAGGUCUAUUCCGGUAACGAGCGAGACCGCGGUCCGAUGUUGCCUGCAAUAAAUGCGUUUUGUUGGAGGUAGUUUCGGAGACUAUCGAUGUAGAAGUCGGGGGAAGCGCGGCAAUAACAGGUCUGUGAUGCCCUUCGAUGUCCUGGGCAGCACGCGCGCUACAAUGGCAGCAGCAGAGAGUGGCUGGGUCGAGAGAUUCUGGCGAAACUGUAAAAAGCUGUCGUGAUAGGGAUUGAGCCUUGUAAUUUUUGCUCAUGAAAGAGGAAUUCCUCGUAAGCGCUGGUCAUCAGCCAGUGUUGAAUACGUCUCUGCCUCUUGUACACACCGCCCGUCGCUACUACCGAUCGAGUUGCUUCUAAAGCUGGUUGGACC